rnacentral:rRNA from 1 species
CCUACGGGAGGCAGCAGUGGGGAAUUUUGGACAAUGGGCGCAAGCCUGAUCCAGCAAUGCCGCGUGCAGGAUGAAGGCCUUCGGGUUGUAAACUGCUUUUGUACGGAGCGAAACGGUCUGCUUUAAUACAGUAGGCUAAUGACGGUACCGUAAGAAUAAGCACCGGCUAACUACGUGCCAGCAGCCGCGGUAAUACGUAGGGUGCGAGCGUUAAUCGGAAUUACUGGGCGUAAAGCGUGCGCAGGCGGUUAUAUAAGACAGAUGUGAAAUCCCCGGGCUCAACCUGGGACCUGCAUUUGUGACUGUAUAGCUAGAGUACGGUAGAGGGGGAUGGAAUUCCGCGUGUAGCAGUGAAAUGCGUAGAUAUGCGGAGGAACACCGAUGGCGAAGGCAAUCCCCUGGACCUGUACUGACGCUCAUGCACGAAAGCGUGGGGAGCAAACAGGAUUAGAUACCCUGGUAGUCCACGCCCUAAACGAUGUCAACUGGUUGUUGGGUCUUCACUGACUCAGUAACGAAGCUAACGCGUGAAGUUGACCGCCUGGGGAGUACGGCCGCAAGGUUGAAACGUCAAAGGAAUUGACGG